rnacentral:rRNA from 1 species
UACAGAGGGCUCAAGCGUUGUUCGGAUUCAUUGGGCGUAAAGGGUGUGUAGGUGGCGCCGUAAGUCGGGUGUGAAAUUUCGGAGCUUAACUCCGAAACUGCAUUCGAUACUGCGGUGCUUGAGGACUGGAGAGGAGACUGGAAUUCAUGGUGUAGCAGUGAAAUGCGUAGAGAUCAUGAGGAAGACCAGUGGCGAAGGCGGGUCUCUGGACAGUGCCUGACACUGAGACACGAAGGCGAGGGGAGCAAACGGG